CAGCAGCCGCGGUAAUACAGAGGGUGCGAGCGUUAAUCGGAUUUACUGGGCGUAAAGCGUGCGUAGGCGGCUUCUUAAGUCGGAUGUGAAAUCCCUGAGCUUAACUUAGGAAUUGCAUUCGAUACUGGGAAGCUAGAGUAUGGGAGAGGAUGGUAGAAUUCCAGGUGUAGCGGUGAAAUGCGUAGAGAUCUGGAGGAAUACCGAUGGCGAAGGCAGCCAUCUGGCCUAAUACUGACGCUGAGGUACAAAAGCAUGGGGAGCAAACAGGAUUAGAUACCCGGGUAGUCCCUGUCUCUUAUAU
rnacentral:rRNA from 1 species